AGGCUGAGGCAGGAGAAUCACUUGAAUCCAGGAGGCGGAGGUUGCAGUGAGCUGAGAUCAUACCACCGCACUCCAGCCUGGGCGACUGAGUGAGACUCUAUCUCAAAAAAAAAAAAAAAAAAAAAAAAAAGCAAAAAGGAUCUUUGCUCUACUUCUGAGAUUCUGACAUUUAUAGGUUUUCUUGAUAGUCCUACUAAAAUGGCCAAAAAAACACAAAAAAACAACAAAAGGGGGGAAAGAGAGAGAGAGAGAGAGAGACUUGGGCAAGGGGUCUAUUCAAAGGGGCUUCUCAAGUUGCAGGCUGUGUGGGAGGGCUGGU
rnacentral:lncRNA from 1 species